rnacentral:rRNA from 1 species
UACGAAGGGGGCUAGCGUUGUUCGGAUUUACUGGGCGUAAAGCGCACGUAGGCGGAUUGUUAAGUCGGGGGUGAAAUCCUGGAGCUCAACUUCAGAAUUGCCUUCGAUACUGGCUUUCUAGAGGCUGGAAGAGGUUAGUGGAAUUCCCAGUGUAGAGGUGAAAUUCGUAGAUAUUGGGAAGAACACCAGUGGCGAAGGCGGACUAACUGGUCCAGAUCUGACGCUGAGGUGCGAAAGCGUGGGGAGCAAACAGGG